CUUACAUCUCUUCGGAGCAUUUUACGAGGUGCUGCAUGGUUGUCGUCAGCUCGUGCCGUGAGGUGUCGGGUUAAGUCCCAUAACGAGCGCAACCCUUGCCUUUAGUUGCCAGCAGUUCGGCUGGGCACUCUAAAGGGACUGCCGGUGUUAAACCGGAGGAAGGUGGGGAUGACGUCAAGUCCUCAUGGCCUUUAUGACCAGGGCUACACACGUACUACAAUGGCCGAUACAAAGGGCAGCGACACUGCGAGGUGAAGCCAAUCCCGUAAAAUCGGUCUCAGUCCGGAUUGGAGUCUGCAACUCGACUCCAUGAAGUUGGAAUCGCUAGUAAUCGUGGAUCAGCAUGCCACGGUGAAUACGUUCCCGGGCCUU
rnacentral:rRNA from 1 species